rnacentral:rRNA from 1 species
AGAGUUAAACAGUACGUGAAAUUGUUGAAAGGGAAACGAUUGAAGUCAGUCGUGCUGGCGCGAAAUCAGCUCGACCACUUGGGGAUCACGGGCCGUAGCGAGCCUCAAAACCGUUACGACUUGUGAUUGCUUGGUGGCCUGGUGCACUUUCGUGUCGGCUGGUUAACAUCAAUUUCGAUCGUCAUAAAAAGGCUGGAGGGAUGUGGCUCCUUCGGGAGUGUUAUAACCUUUGGCGGAAUGUGGUGGUCGGGAUUGAGGUUUGCAACGAAUACCUUCAGGGCUGUUCCACCUGGCCUCUCGUCGGCAUCCUGGCGACGACAGCUUGCUGACGUUGUUAGGAUCAGCUUUCGAACAGGCUAGAGUGUGAGCAAAUUCGUUAAGGAUGUUAACGUAAUGGCUUUAAACGACC